AGAAUCAACGCUGGCGGCGUGCCUAACACAUGCAAGUCGAACGGGAAAGUGGAGCAAUCCAUGAGUAUAGUGGCGACCGGGUGAGUAACACGUGACUAACCUACCCUUGAGUGGGGGAUAACCUCGGGAAACCGGGGCUAAUACCGCAUAACAUCUUCGGGAUGAGAAGCUGAAGAUCAAAGGAGCAAUUCGCUUUCGGGAGGGGGUCGCGGCUGAUUAGCUAGUUGGCGGGUAACGCCCACCAAGGCUUUGAUCGGUA
rnacentral:rRNA from 1 species